AUUGAACGCUGGCGGCAGGCCUAACACAUGCAAGUCGAACGAGUGGCGGACGGGUGAGUAAUGUCUGGGAAACUGCCUGAUGGAGGGGGAUAACUACUGGAAACGGUAGCUAAUACCGCAUACCAUCAGAUGUGCCCAGAUGGGAUUAACUAGUUGGUGGGGUAAAGGAUCAACAAGGCGACGAUCCCUAGCUGGUCUGAGAGGAUGAACAACCACACUGGAACUGAGACACGGUCCAGACUCCUACGGGAGGCAGCAGUGGGGAAUAUUGCACAAUGGGCGCAAGCCUGAUGCAGCCAAGCCGCGUGUAUGAAGAAGGCCUUCGGGUUGUAAAGUAAUUUCAGCGGGGAGGCGUUACCCGCAUAAGAAGCACCGGCUAACUCCGUGCCAGCAGCCGCGGUAAUUC
rnacentral:rRNA from 1 species